UUAAUAUUCGUACCACUGUUAUUGUGUCAUUACAUUAAUUUCUGAAAAACAUGUAACGUUAAGUAACGUUAGUUUAAUAGGUUGUAGCCUGUCACAUUAGCCUAGCGUUAUAGUUAACAAUCUCUGUUAUUCUGACAUUAUAUUCUGUGUGAUGUUAACGUUACCAUUGUAACUUCAAGGGACAACAGAGCAAACAAGUGCCCUAAUUGAGUGGCGAGCCGUCAAUGAGGUCCUGUUUACAGGGAAGAGGAAUUCCUCAAAAAAUGGAUGGGAGUGAGUAUGCUUUUUAUGUGUUUGUAUGCGACAGGCGGUGGUCCAUUGGUGUGUUUGUAUCAGACUUGAUAGCCUCUUAGAAGAAUUUGAUGCACCAAAAAUAAAGAAAACAAAUACAAAGUAUAAAGCUAAAGCAAAUAUUAUAAAAGUAAAUUGUAACCUGGUGAACAGAUAAGUAAUUUCCCUCUGAGGAUCAAUAAAGUUAUUCUUAUUCUAGGCUGUAGUGUGGUAUUAAACAGUGCAAAGUACUUGUGAAGUGCAAAGAAAAAGUACAGGUGACAGUUAUGUAAUUAUCAACUUAAACAAAAUGACUAAUUUGUACUAACAAUAAUAAUAACUUAUGUGUACAACUGUCACUCAACUAUUCCUUGCAUGCACGUACUGCCGAAGUGCAAUAUAGCCUUCAUACGAAAUGUCUGCAUUAUCAUUCCAUAACUACAUCAUAUUGAAUAGUUUCUGUCAGCUUGUGUUUGUCACUGAAAUAUCUCUGUUAACUUGUGUGUUUAAUUUGUAAUAAUAUCAUGUAAUAUGAUGUCUGACUAAGUUGUCCUAUUUGUGUGUGUGUGUGUGUGUGUGUGUGUGUGUGUGUGUGUGUGUGAGUGUGUGUGCUUUAUCCAGAGUCUUUGUGAAAAAUUGCGGCUUUGCUGUGACAGCCAAGCAGGCCAUGAAAAAGUGGAACAACCUGAAGGAGAAAUACAAGUUAUAGUCGUGCUCCCUCAGAAAAGCAGGUUGCUCUGCAGGGGCAGACACCUACGCAGCAAGCCUGGCCCGGAGGUUGUUUCCAGAGAGCUCUAGUUCAGCAGCACCAGGAUCCUCCUCCUCCUCCUCCUCCUCCUCCUCGAUGUCCUCCUCCUCCUCCUCCUCGAUGUCCCCUGUCCCCAGAGAUUGUGGAGGAUGCAGCAUGCGGCGAUGACCUUUGGUGCAAAUAGAGGCCGGAUCUCCAAAGCCCGGAGGAAGAUGGCCCUCCAACGGGUUUUAAGCAUCCCGAAGGCUGGCGGUAUGGGGUCAUGAGGGUCACCGGAAGCUGGAGGCAAGGGUACCCCCCAUCUCCAAGCAGGUAGAAGUCAGCUGGUGGGUACAGGGACUCCUUGUACAUUGGACAUCUUCGGAGGAUAAGGGCAUCAUGGACUGACCCCGUGUUUCCAACUUAGGUGGGAGAAUGCGGACGUGGCACCCAUCUAUGGCACCAGCCACACACCGAAAUGCCUCGUGCCCAGCCAGACGUGCAAAGCCUGCCCCCACC